rnacentral:lncRNA from 1 species
CUAUACACCAGAGGGCUUGGGAAGACACAUGCCCUGCAGAAGGUAAGGUAUAUGAAGAGCCAGGCGGCUGCCACCACGUGAAGUCUUUAGGACUCCAGGAUAUAAUCUCUAAAGUAAAAGACAAAUGUCUUGCAGCCCCUAUCACAAAAAAAGGAAGCAUAGCACCUGACAGGCCUCCCGGCUUCUUUUGGAGAUAGCACGUUUCAUACCUACCAAUACCACACUUAAGAAUAUUGGGAGACUCAGAAGACUGCCAGCUUUCAGAAAGCCCAGGAGCAAGAAUGGGCUCUGCAGCAGAUCCAGGCUUGCCCUGCCACUCAGGCCAUAAGGUCCAGCAAGCCCUGUUGUGUUGGGAGAGCCAAUAUUAGAAAAAAGAUAUAGUGUGGAGUUUAUGGCAAGUUCCCAGUGAGAAAACAAUAAUGCAGGCUUCUGGGGUUCUGGAACAAGGUUAUGCCAUCUAUAGCAAAAUUAUUAUAUGCUUUUUGAGAAAGCCCCCACAUGUUUCUGAGCACAGAAUGCUUAGAAUGGAAUGCUGGACCAUGGAACAUCAAGUGACCAUGCAUACAGACUGUCCACUGUGAUGUGGGGUUUGUUCGUUUGUUUGUUUGUUUGUUUUUGAGACAGAGUCUCACUCAAUGUUUCCCAGGCUGGAGUGCAGCAGCACGACCUCAGCUCACUGCAACCUUCACCUCCUGGGUUCAAGUGAUUCUCCCGCCUCAGCCUCCCAAGUAGCUAAGACUACAGGCACACGCCACCAUGCCUGGCUAAUUUUUGUAUUUUUAGUAGAGAUGGGGUUUCACCAUGUUGGCCAGGUUGGUGUCGAACUCCUGGCCUCAGGUGAUCUGCCCACCUCAGCUUCCCCAAGUGCUGGGAAUACAGGCAUGAGCCACUGCGCCCUACUCAAUCCAGGUUCUUUUGAAACUGCCAAUUCAUGAGGUCACAUAGGCUCAGCAGUAGUCUAUUGUAAGAUGGAAAUGAGUGGAACCAAAGGCAUGGGGGAAGUUGCAUGAACAGGGAGCCCACCCUCCACAAUUCCAUCCACUAUCCCCAGCUCUUACCUCUUGUCAAAUGAGUGUCCCAAGUGACCAGCUGAAGAAAGAAAGAGGAGAAAGCCCAAGGUUGGUUUAUGAUCUGUGAAGGGUCUGAGAUUUUACCCUGCCUGUAAGCUAACAAGUUAUCCUGACACUGUUGUAUGGCUGCUGGCAGAAGAUUUAAGGUCAGAGACAAAGAACUUUAUUAUUCAGCACAAUUGCAGCAGCCAGAGUAUCAGCAUUUUCUUACACCAGUUCCCUGGGCUCUCAUUCCUAUACAGCAAUGCAAAAAAAUGCUAGGUGACACCUGCACAUGCAGUGGCUACAUUACAGAAGAGACUCUGGGCUGGCCAGAAGCCUGGGAGUAAAAACACUGAAAGAUUGGUGAGGAGUCCUGGGGUAGAGGCAUGUCAAUGGACAUAUAGCAUUAAGCAUUAAGUGUCAAGAUUGCUGCACCACACUUUAAUACCCACUAAAAGUAAUGGGUGUUACUUAUAAUCCUCACAGAAGAGGUACUGAACAACCAAGUAGACAAAAUGAUGCAGCCAGCUGCUAUUAGCCAGUCUUUGUUAUCAGCUUUCUCUGAGCUGGCAGGAUAAGCACAUGAAUGGAAUCGCCACAGGGACAGAGAUGGAGGCUGUGUAUGGACCCAAAACUGCUGGCUUCCACUUGAAAAGGCUGAUCUGGAUACUGCUGCCUUUGAAUGCACAACCUGUUGGCACUAGUUCUUAAGGAGCCCAAUGGACCAUUUGGUGACAAGUCACUUACACUGGGUCCCUGCCAUCCUGGAACAGUCAGCAGUUCACAGAAAAACCUGCUCCUGAUUACAAGGAUAUGUCGAUUGCAGGGAGGCAGAGGAAGAAAUACAACAGGAUGUCUAUCGAACACAACUUUGGAGUAAGACCUUGGGACCCAACUCCUGUUUGCUUCAUAUACAAGCUUUGAGACGUGAUGAGUUUGCCUCGAUUCUCUAAGCCUCAGUUUCCUCAUCUGUUGUUGUGAGGGAAAUAAUGCAUGGAAAGCUUUUAACACAAUGGCUGGCACACAGUGAAAGUGCAAGACGUUAACCAUUAUCAUGAGAGUUUUCAAUUGGAAUGAAUAGGAGACUUAAAUUUGCAUGAUUGUACUUUUACACUAAGCCAUUAAUGAUGCAUUCAUUUAGUUUUCUACUCCCAAAGAACAUAGAUUUGAUUAAUUAUAACAAGAAUUUAAAAAUAUUUCCAUUAUUCAGAAAUAACCUACAGAGUCUAAGCCUGUCCUUUCCUUCCUCCCUUUUUCCCAAUCUUUUUUUUUUUUUUUUUUUUUUGAAAGAAAUAGCAAUUAUGUAGUCAGAUUCACUGGCUCUUUCUUCUUCUCCCUGGUAACAGGCUAAGUCUUAACCUUGAUUAGGCAGCAUCGCAUCUGAUCUAAGUUCUUCCCAGCUUUCAGCCCAGCCUGCUUCCCCAGGCUUCAGAGCGCAGCUCUGCACCACCCUCUCCACCCCUGCUUAGCAUCAGAACAUUGCCAAAGCUAAGCAUCUAUGCAAUGUUUCUUUUGAAUAGUUGUCUACCUACUUGGAUAUUUUUUUCCUUCUCCCAGAGGCAAAAAUUGGACCACUUAAUCUAUGCUGUAGGACAGUCUUGCCCCUCAGAAAAUACUUGAGCAUAUUAAGUUGUUAUGAAAUGGAUCUGAGAAGCAGAGUUCUGAACCAUGCCCGUGAAUUUCCCAGCCUCAUCACACUGGCAUUCUUUCAUAGCCCCGAAAUACUUUCCACUUGCCCUUCCUAUGAAUGCAAGUAAAGCAAAGCCUCUUGACAAAGCAAAUUAAGAGUAAUCAAUGGUUUGGGUUUUUUUUUUAAUUAUUAUUUCCUGUGACUCAAAUCAAACCUAUUUCUCAACUGUAACGUACGAAAAGAGAGAGAUCAAGUUGACAUUUAGGAAAAUUGAACAUUGAUAAGUAAAUUGCCUUCACUCAGUCUCUUAGGUCCUCUCUCCUUUCCCCCUACCCCACGACACCCCGUGGCCCUGCUCUCUCUCACACACACAGCUGAAGGUAUCUUUAAAGGGUACCUAUUUCCUGCAGAUCACGCUUAUGUUAAUCUCACUUCAAGUACAGAUGCACCGAGGACAUUACAGGGUCAGUCAUUCUUAUCCACAAAGCUUUAGAUUCCACUACAUUAUUCAAACUGGACAAUGGACUUCCCCAUUUUGUGCCCAGACUUGCUCACUAAUAGAGUGACCUCCUUGUUAUGGGUGAGGAUAUAUUUGAUGCUAAAACUGCUACAAAUUUUUAUCAGCAUUUAAUCUUGAGACUGUGAAUUACUACAUCCUGCAUGUGUUGGUACCUUACUUUGAUUAAAAAUGGGAUAAAUCAAUGAGAGAGUCUUUUUAUCCAAGGCCAUGUUCCUUUCACAUGAAGGUCAUAUACGGGCUAAUUGGACAAAAUAUAAAUCAUGUUUCUUUCCACAUUCAGUUUUAGAUCCUGACCUGUUUUGUGUCAAGAAAUCACAGGGAGCCCAACCUGUAUCAUCAAGAUUGUUUUGAUUUACAGAUGAUUUCCUUAAAUCAUAGCAUGAUGACAUUCAAUGCAAUUCCAAAAUUAAGGAAUGGAGAGUUCAGAAGGACAUUUAAAAAAAAAAUGCUUGUAGUGUUAUAGGAAAAAGUAAUCAGAACUUUGACUCCAUUUGCUUUCCUGUGUCAUAGAAAUGUUGAGGACAGGACAAAAAUAUAACUCCCACCAGUAAC